UUAUAAAUUACGUGUAUCACAAAUCCGCUAAAACUAGGUACUAUAGAAGAACUCAAAAAGAAGAAAAAAUGUGGAAAAAAUGAUCCAAACAGGAUGAAACGUAAUUAAAGAAUGAAGUUUAACCGAAUAUUAAUUACAUGAUAAUCCGACAAUUAUUCACAAAGUUGGUUUAAUUAGUGAAAAGUGAUGAAGUCCGAUGUGUCACUUGGGUGCAUAAUCUUUGAACUCGAUGAUGAUGUUGCUGCUGCCGCCAUCCAUUGUCAGAUUACCCUUCUGGUGUUUUCCUUAUCACGUUCGAGACGGUUUGUACCUUCACGAGAGAUAUUGAAAUUAAACAACUACCUACCGAAGAAUUAAUUUCUAACCUCAAGUAACCAGCGUUUCUUUCCUACGUUUCGAAAUACGUAAUUGGCAGUUAUCGUAGGCUCGGUUUAAACCAAAUCCAUGAUAACUGAAACAAUUGUUUUCAGCCCUGUGUAGGCAAGCAAAGUAGAUAAGUAUAUUUUUGAACUUGUUAAAAUGAAACUAAAAUUCGUUAUCAAAGUAAUGAAGGCUGUAGUGAAUCAAUGAGCAUGGUGAUCAACAAUGAUCAACCACCAAGUCCUCUAUACUGUAGGUAGAGGUAUACUAUAGAUGAAUAACAAAAAUAGACACCGAGUCUUAUAGAACUUGUAACGAAUAAAUUAAAAUUGGUCAUCAAUAGUGAAGAAUAAAUGUCAGUAGGACAACGACCGUCGCAGUAUUUUUCCUCGCGAACUUUACCGGCUGGAGUAUAAUUUAUCGAAUUUAACUGAUAACAGUCCAAUGACGACCGAAAAAUUCCUUGUUCUGAACGAUCAUUCGUCAACGAAAGUGGAGAAAAAACAUUUCAAUUUUACACGUUCGAGAACCAAAACCGAAUAAUUUGAAAACCCGAAUGAUGAAUUUCCGCACAUUUUCCGAUAAGAUGAGAUAAGGUACUGAAAAACUGCAUUCGAUUUCCAGCACCCUUUUGAAUUGAUACGCCUGCGCAAUCGUCACUUCGUCAGCAUUUUUAUAUCGUGAGUUUAUUCGUUCGUAAAAGGGAGAAGUCACGUUAAAAAAGGUAUAUCCAUACAGAGUAGGUAUACUUACAUGUAGAUAAAAUUGGCCAAAUUAGUAACCUAAGAAAGUAUUAUUGGAAAAUACGCGAAUACCCAGCACAAAACGGUACCGAAAAAAAAAAUCGCACGGUUUUAUCUAAAGGUAAACAACGACCGAGUGUGCACGCGAGUGUGUCUAUGAGAAA